rnacentral:rRNA from 1 species
CCCUUAGAUGUUCUGGGCCGCACGCGCGCUACACUGAUGCAUUCAACGAGUCCAACCUUGACCGAGAGGUCCGGGUAAUCUUUGAAACUGCAUCGUGAUGGGGCUAGAUUAUUGCAAUUAUUAAUCUUCAACGAGGAAUGCCUAGUAAGCGUGAUUCAUCAAAUCGCGUUGAUUACGUCCCUGCCCUUUGUACACACCGCCCGUCGCUCCUACCGAUUGAGUGUGUUGGUGAGGAGUUUGGAUUGGCCUCGGAAGGUGGUUCGCCACCGUCCGUAGCUGAGAAGUUCUCCAAACCGCCCCCCUUAGAGGAAGGAGAAGUCGUAACA